rnacentral:lncRNA from 1 species
AAUUUCAUUUUCACAACCAUAAAGAUGAGCACGUCUCCUGUAUUUUCGAAAAUGCAUUCAGAUUAUUUUCGAUAAUAAGACAUCUGAUUCGACGACCAACUCCAUUAAACAUAAUAUAUACUAUUAGAACUAUUUAGAAAGUAAAUUUUAUAAUUUUUUGAUAUUAUUUACUAAUUGUUCAACGGGUCAAAAAAUGACUAUCUUAAUAGCAUUAAUAAGUUGCACAGUAUAGAACAAUCCAAAUUUGGUAAAAUUUUAAUAGCAAAUUCUGCUUGCCAUCAAUAGCGAGAUCAAUAUUUUCAUUUAAAAUUUAAAUCGUUUAUCACUAUUUUUUAUAAGAUUUUUAUCUUCAUCCAUUCAUUUUGAGGUCAUCUAUUUUCUCAACAAACGAAGUCAACAAUUUAUGAGAUUCGAUUUUUAAAUAGUUCCAACACUAUAGAUUAUGUCUAACAAAGCAAAAUCACUGAAUCGAGUAUCUCAUUACCGAAAAUAAUUUAAAAGCACAAAAACUUUGUACUUUCGAAAGUACAGCAGCCUAGCUCAUAAAAAGAUAAAAAUUUUUGGACGCUUUUCAAAUAGAAAACUUGUUUUA